rnacentral:rRNA from 1 species
UACGUAGGGUGCAAGCGUUGCUCGGAAUCAUUGGGCGUAAAGAGCGUGUAGGUGGCUAGAUAAGUCAGAUGUGAAAUCCCUCGGCUCAACCGAGGAAGUGCAUUUGAAACUAUCUAGCUCGAGGAUGGCAGAGGAAGGUGGAAUUCCUAGUGUAGAGGUGAAAUUCGUAGAUAUUAGGAGGAAUACCGGUGGCGAAGGCGGCCUUCUGGACCAUUCCUGACACUGAGACGCGAAAGCGUGGGUAGCAAACAGGG